rnacentral:rRNA from 1 species
AAAUGCAUAGAUAUUACACAGAACACCGAUUGCGAAGGCAGCUUACCAAACCAGCACUGACGCUGAAGCACGAAAGCGUGGGGAGCGAACAGGAUUAGAUACCCUGGUAGUCCACGCCGUAAACUUUUGCUCACUCGCUGUUGGCGAUAGACAGUCAGCGGCCAAGGGAAACCGAUAAGUGAGCCACCUGGGGAGUACGGCCGCAAGGUUGGAACUCAAAGGAAUUGACGGGGGCCCGCACAAGCGGUGGAACAUGUGGUUUAAUUCGAUGAUACGCGAGGAACCUUACCUGGGCUUAAAUGUGAAGUGCAUUGAUUGGAAACAAUCAUUUCCUUCGGGACCCUUUACAAGGUGCUGCAUGGUUGUCGUCAGCUCGUGCCGUGAGGUGUCGGGUUAAGUCCCAUAACGAGCGCAACCCCUAUUGUUAGUUACCAGCGCGUGAUGGCGGGGACUCUAGCGAAACUGCCGGUGUAAACCGCGAGGAAGGUGGGGAUGACGUCAAAUCAGCACGGCCCUUAUGUCCAGGGCUACACACGUGUUACAAUGGCCGGUACAGCGGGCAGCUAGGCAGCGAUGUCAUGCUAAUCCCGAAAGCCGGUCCCAGUUCGGAUUGGAGUCUGCAACCCGACUCCAUGAAGGUGGAAUCGCUAGUAAUCGCGCAUCAGCCAUGGCGCGGUGAAUACGUUCCCGGGCAUUGUACACACCGCCCGUCAAGCCAUGGAAGUCUGGGGUGCAUGAAGGCCGUAACCGCAAGGAGCGUUCUAGGGUAAACAGAUGACUGGG